GAGCCUACUUUGUUAGGUGACUGCGUACCUUUUGUAUAAUGGGUCAGCGACUUACGUUGUGUUGCGAGCUUAACCGAAUAGGGGAGGCGUAGCGAAAGCGAGUCCGAACAGGGCGUUCAGUAGCGCGGCGUAGACCCGAAACCGGAUGAUCUAUCCAUGGCCAGGAUGAAGGUGCCGUAACAGGUACUGGAGGUCCGAACCCACUAACGUUGAAAAGUUAGGGGAUGAGCUGUGGAUAGGGGUGAAAGGCUAAACAAAUCCGGAAAUAGCUGGUUCUCCCCGAAAACUAUUUAGGUAGUGCGUCACAUAUCACUUCCGGGGGUAAAGCACUGUUAUGGCUAGGGGGUCAUCGCGAUUUACCAAACCAUGGCAAACUCUGAAUACCGCAAAGUGCGAGCAUGGCAGACAGACAGUGGGUGCUAACGUCCAUUGUCAAGAGGGAAACAACCCAGACCGCCAGCUAAGGUCCCCAAGACACAGUUAAGUGGGAAACGAAGUGGGAAGGCAUAGACAGCUAGGAGGUUGGCUUAGAAGCAGCCAUCCUUUAAAGAAAGCGUAAUAGCUCACUAGUCGAGUCGUCCUGCGCGGAAGAUGUAACGGGGCUCAAACUGUGCACCGAAGCUGCGGAUAUCGAAAGAUAUGGUAGGGGAGCGUUCUGUAGGUCUGUGAAGGUGUCUCGUAAGGGAUGCUGGAGAUAUCAGAAGUGCGAAUGCUGACAUGAGUAGCGAUAAAGGGCGUGAAAAGCGCCCUCGCCGAAAGCCCAAGGUUUCCUACGCAACGUUCAUCGGCGUAGGGUGAGUCGGCCCCUAAGGCGAGGCUGAAAAGCGUAGUCGAUGGGAAACAGGUCAAUAUUCCUGUACCGAUUCUGGAUGCGAUGUGGGGACGGAGAAGGUUAGGUCAGCCGGGUGUUGGACGUCCCGGUUUAAGCGUGUAGGAGUGUCCCGUAGGCAAAUCCGCGGGAAUUAUCUGAGGCGUGAUAACGAGGAACCACGGUUCCGAAGUGAUUGAUACCAAGCUUCCAGGAAAAGCCACUAAGCUUCAGCUUGUAUGAGACCGUACCGCAAACCGACACAGGUGGGCAGGAUGAAAAUUCUAAGGCGCUUGAGAGAACUCAGGAGAAGGAACUCGGCAAAAUUGCACCGUAACUUCGGGAGAAGGUGCGCCCCGGUAGCGUGUAGAGACUUGCUCUUGAAGCGCGAUGGGGUUGCAGUGAAAUGGUGGCUGCGACUGUUUAAUAAAAACAUAGCACUCUGCAAACACGAAAGUGGACGUAUAGGGUGUGACGCCUGCCCGGUGCCGGAAGGUUAAUUGAUGGAGUGCGAGCUCUUGAUCGAAGCCCCGGUAAACGGCGGCCGUAACUAUAACGGUCCUAAGGUAGCGAAAUUCCUUGUCGGGUAAGUUCCGACCUGCACGAAUGGCGUAACGAUGGCCACACUGUCUCCUCCUGGGACUCAGCGAAGUUGAAAUGGUUGUGAAGAUGCAAUCUCCCCGCGGCUAGACGGAAAGACCCCAUGAACCUUUACUGUAGCUUUGCAUUGGACUUUGACGGGACUUGUGUAGGAUAGGUGGGAGGCUAUGAAACCGGGACGCCAGUUCCGGUGGAGCCAACCUUGAAAUACCACCCUGGUGUCGUUGAGGUUCUAACCCAGGCCUGUGAAUCCAGGUCGGGGACCGUGCAUGGUGGGCAGUUUGACUGGGGCGGUCUCCUCCCAAAAGGUAACGGAGGAGUACGAAGGUCACCUAGGUACGGUCGGACAUCGUACUGAUAGUGCAAUGGCAAAAGGAGGCUUGACUGCGAGACCGACAAGUCGAGCAGGUGCGAAAGCAGGUUAUAGUGAUCCUCGUGCGUUUUGUGGAAGACGCCGGGCUUAUCGGAUAAAAGCUACUCCGGGGAUAACAGAGUCAUCGCGCCUAAGCGUCCCUAGCGUCGGCGCGGUUUGCUAC
rnacentral:rRNA from 1 species